GAUGAACGCUGGCGGCAUGCUUAACACAUGCUAGUCGAACGGGAAGUGGUGUUUCCAGUGGCGAACGGGUGAGUAACGCGUAAGAACCUGCCCUUGGGAGGGGAACAACAACUGGAAACGGUUGCUAAUACCCCGUAGGCUGAGGAGCAAAAGGAGAAAUCCGCCCAAGGAGGGGCUCGCGUCUGAUUAGCUAGUUGGUGAGGUAAUAGCUUACCAAGGCGAUGAUCAGUAGCUGGUCCGAGAGGAUGAUCAGCCACACUGGGACUGAGACACGGCCCAGACUCCUACGGGAGGCAGCAGUGGGGAAUUUUCCGCAAUGGGCGAAAGCCUGACGGAGCAAUGCCGCGUGGAGGUGGAAGGCCUACGGGUCGUCAACUUCUUUUCUCGGAGAAGAAACAAUGACGGUAUCUGAGGAAUAAGCAUCGGCUAACUCUGUG
rnacentral:rRNA from 1 species